GAAAAAUAUUCGGCACACUCCUCUGCAGUUGCAGAAGAUGUUCAUUUGGUUACAAUGGCAGAGAAAAUGCAGCCAGCGUUACUUGAAACAGCUCACCCCGCUAAAAAGGCGAGGAAAAGAAAACCUGAGACAGAAAAGGUUGUGAGGAAAUAGAAAGAAGUCAGACCCGAGUCAACAUAGGUGCAGCAUGUGAGUGGUGGAGACAGCUGGAGCAUGUGAAGGACCUGAACAGUGAUGCAGAGGUUUCUCUCUUUCUGUUGGACAGCAAUGAGAAUGGCUAAUGAGUCGGCCCAGUUUCCACUGGAUACGGUCCGCUGCGUUGCGGCUUCGACCCGGUUUUGCUCCGCCUUCCGGCAGUCCCCACCGGCUGCGGUUUGAGUCCGCCACCAUGCAGUAAGACGGUGAAGAGGAGGAGGAGGAGGAGGACUGACCUGAUCCACAGACGACGAAGAUGAAGAGCGCGAGCAGCCAGGGCCCGACUCCUUUAUCUUCAGCGGGAUUUCUCUGAAAACACAGAAAAUCACAAACACGAUCGCUAUUGAUGAUCAUCAAUAAUCCAGUCAGACUUUAUUGAUUUGAUGUCAGGAUGUGUAGAAUAUUAACUGUCAUAACACAUGAAUCAACUGUUGCUUCAGAUACAACCAGCAGUUAAUGAUUAAUUAAAUCUAAUUAAUUAAUCUGAUCGGUCUGAUCGAUUUUCUGAGAAAACAUGUAGAGAUGAAAGGUGUCACUGUUCUCUGAUGAUGUCUGGAUCAUAUCGAUAAGUUAAAUGGAAAACUAAUCAACACUAAUCAUCAUUAUUGAUCCAUAUGUUCACUGUGUCGGCCAUCUGUCUGAUCAUUUAGACAUACAAUCAAUCAGAUGUGACAGAUACUGAUGAUUAUUUAUGAUUAUUGAUGAAGUCAAAGCUUCAGUUAAAACAGUUUUAAUGAACUUAUUUAAAGAUCACUUCCUUAUUCCAGGUCAGGACGGUGCCACUGUGUAGCCUAGGUCCGACUGGGUCCGACUGGACUUUAAAGACUUCUAACUGGUUCUGACUCCCAGAGGUAACCUGGAUAACUGACCCAGUUCAUCUCGUAGUGUUGGUCUCGGGUUUAAGUGAGUCAGUCUCGGGUUAGUCGGUCUGUCUCAGGACAGCAGCGGUUGUUAA